AUACGUAGGGGGCGAGCGUUGUCCGGAAUGACUGGGCGUAAAGGGCGUGUAGGCGGCUUUAUAAGUCUGGAGUGAAAGUCCUGCUUUCGAGGUGGGAAUUGCUUUGGAGACUGUAGAGCUUGAGUGCGGAAGAGGUAAGUGGAAUUCCCAGUGUAGCGGUGAGAUGCGUAGAGAUUGGGAGGAACACCAGUGGCGAAGGCGACUUACUGGGCCGUAACUGACGCUGAGGCGCGAAAGCGUGGGGAGCGAACAGGAUUAGAUACCCUGGUAGUCCACGCGGUAAACGAUGAAUGCUAGGUGUUGCGGGUAUCGACCCCUGCAGUGCCGGAGUAAACACAAUAAGCAUUCCGCCUGGGGAGUACGGCCGCAAGGUUGAAACUCAAAUGAAUUGGCGGG
rnacentral:rRNA from 1 species